rnacentral:lncRNA from 10 species
GGUAGCUGAAAUGAUCUUAAAGCUGUCAACUACUAUAAGCAGUUCUCCGGAUCUUCGAGGCCAUCAGAAGGAUCUAGAAUCUGUGUCUGGGAAUCGUUUUGGCUUUUGCGAGUUGUUUUGCAUCAUCUUAUUAUGUUCUAACAGCAGCAAACAGUUAAUAGAGCUGACCACUGAGGGAAGGUUGUUACAUGAACCACCUUGAACAGACAAAAAUGAUCUCCUGAGAAUUCUAUUCUAGCUACCUGAACAAGAUGCACCAGGUAGGAAAAAAGAUAUGCAGGGAAGUACCUGAGGUGUUCAAGUGCAUCCAUGUUCAACUUGAUGGUUUGAUAAUUUUAGCUCAGACCAACACAGGUCAUAUGGUAUCCAUGAACAUCAUCCUGGAAGGAACUUGAAAAGCAGAAGGGCCGUGACUAGCAUACUUUUUUAAGCUAUUUGAAAGAGCUGAUGGUAAACCAUGUAGGUCUUGGCCAAUAGACCAGGGUGGACAAAACCUCUUUAUAGACAACGAGGCUCAUGGUUCAGAACAAGGACUCCAUGAGUCAUUACAGAAGAGAAAUUGGAUGACACUGAAAUAGUCUAUUGAUAGUAGCUGGGAGGGUCCCCACCACAGCAUACGAAAUGCUGUGGGCUUCACUCCCACUCACUUCCAGGAAUGUGUCUACUCUUGGAAGAGAGAAAAGAAUAAAAGCCAGGAAGAGGAAGGAGGCCAUAUUUCAUGUCCUGGAAUCACUCAACACUGUGAACAUUAAUCCAUGAAGUAAAACAAAACAGUACAAAAGAUGACCAUAUUCCUGUAGUUUAAAAAUGUGUCUGAGCCAUUGAGUAAAUGCUUUUGAUCAAAAUUUUAGUCAUUUGCCAAUUGCUGACUAAUCUGAUGAAAAUGAAGCAUUCUGAAGGAACAUGCAUAAUCUAAAAAACAGUAGUAUUGAAAAGAAUCAAGACUAUUCUUACCUUAAUUUUUAAAAAGUAUUAAAAAUUAUUUGAGAGGCGAUGGAAAGAUGGUCUUUGUAUAUUUAUCUUGAAACUGCUACAUUUGCAAACAAAUCCUUUAGGCUCAAGGAAAUAAUAAUAAAGCAUUAAAAGCAAUUCAAUACCAGUCCCAAAUUAAACUCACUUUAAGAGAUAUCAGUUAGGAAUACAAAUGCAUCUGUUGUAGGAAAAUUAAUUCAGCACCAUUUGCUUAGCAAAAGAUGUGAUUGGCCCUAAACUGAAAUUAUUUUAAAAAAAUGUAUUUUAAGACACAAAUCUCUUUAAGUGCUUUGAUGAAUAAGAAAUUUCGCAAAAGAAUUGUGAUAUGGUUUGGCUGUGUCCCCACCCAAAUCUCAUCUUGAAUUGUAGCUCCUACAAUUCCCACAUGUCGUGGAAGGGACCCGGUGGGAAGUAACUGGAUCAUAGGCACGGGUCUUUCCCAUGCUGCUCUCAUGAUAGUGAAUAAGUCUCACAAGAUCUGAUGGGUUUAUAAAGAGGAGUUCCCCAGCACAAGUCCUCUCUCUUUUGCCCGUCACCAUGUAAGAAGUCCCUUUGCUCUUCCUUCAUUUUCUGCCAUGAUUGUGAGGCCUCCUCAGCCAUGUGAAACUGUAAGUCCAUUGGACAUCUUUUUUCUUUAUAAAUUACCCACUCUUGGGUAUGCCUUUAUUAGCAGCAUGAGAACGGACUAAUACAAAAUCAUUCUACUCUAGGCUAAAGCUUCAAUAAUUGUUUAAGUCUAACAUGAGAAGGCAGGACCAACAAGCCAAGUGAUUUAGGAGAGGUCCACAUUCUUCUUUCCAUUUGGAGAGAAAUGUAGUAAUAACCACCCCAAGCGAGUGCUGGGCAUGGGUCAGGCUGGGGUUAAUUGCAUCACAGCAAGUACCACUUAUUCUCAUAGCCAUUGGCAAGAUGGGUAUAGAGUUCCUGCUUUUCAGUUGAUAAAACUUAACCAUGAAUGGGAUACGUAAGUGUUCAAGAUAUGUGGCAUCUCAUAAGAAGCCAAUGUAUGCAAAUGCACAUAGCAGGGAAAGAUUAUAUUCUCCCGGAAUCUGAAAAUGUAGUCCCAAGUAUCCCCUUGAUCUGUGCCAGUGUAGGUAUCCUUGAAGUUUCACCUUAUCUUUUAUUGAUACUUAUUUUAUUUUAGAUUCAGGGGGUACAUGUGUAAGUUUCUGACCUGGGUAUAUUGCAUGAUGCUGAGGCUGGGGCUCCUAAUGAACCUGUCAUCCAGGUAGUGAGCCUGGUACCCAAUAAAUACAUUUUCAACCCUUCUUCUCCUCUCUCCCUUCCUGCUUUUGGAAUCCCCAAGGAGAUUCUCGCUAAGGAGAGAGGACUUAGGAGGAACCAGCGCUUCCCACACCUUCAUCUCAGACUUCCAGCCUCCAGGACAGUGGGGAAAUAAAUUUCUGUUGUUCAAGCCACCCAGUCUGUGGCUCUUUGUCAUGGCAGCCCUAGGAGAUGAAUACAGCCCCCUUAUAAACAGCAACUUCCUGUGCAUCCUGCUUAAAUUUCCACCAACCCUGGACACACACACACACACACACACACACACACACCCCUAAUGGAAGGGGCUGUUAAUGCAUUUUUGGCUCAAUAUUUAACUUUCAGGACACAUAUACUUGGCCAACUUCAACACCACCCAGGACUCUUCAUUCCUGUGCAACAGGCUAUGGUCCCAUGAUUCUCACCUUCUCCAAAUCCCUCUGGGUAGGAAGAAUUCUCUCACCAUCUUCCACUCAGUUUUCUCCUUGAAGUUCCCAAAAUAUCCUUGACUUCUUGGCCCUGCUUGUCUCUCAGGGGAGAAAAAGUUGGUCACCGCCAAAGAAAACAGCCUUGGUAGGACUUCCUGACAACGCCUUCAAGUGCGUUUUCAUUCUACAACUAUUCAAUCAUCAGCUAACUGCUCCAGACAAAAGGAGGGCACUUUUGAAUGAAAAUAAGAAAUACGUAAGCAAUAUAAAAGGUAUCAGAAAAGACAUGUGGCUGGACACAGUGGCUCACACCUGUAAUCCCAGCACUUUGGGAGGCCGAGGCAGGCGGAUCACCUGAGGUCAGGAGUUUGAGACCAGCCUGACCAACGUGGUGAAACCCCGUCUCUACUAAAAAUACAAAAAUUGGUCAGGUGUAGUGGUGGGCACCUGUAAUCCCAGCUACUCAGGAGGCUGAGGCAGGAGAAUUGCUUGAACCCAGGAGGCAGAGGCUGCAGUGAGCUGAAAACAUGCCACUGUACUGCAGCCUGGACGACAGAGUGAGACUCCAUCUCAAAAAAAAAAAAGGAAGAAGAAGAAAAGAAAAGAAAAGUAAUGUAUCUUCUCCCUGGGGGGAGGGGGGGAAAUGCAUGUAUGUGUGUGUGCGUGCGUAUCUGCGCACACGUAUUCAGUUAGAAGACAAGCAUAGACCCAUUGUAGGGGAAGGAGAAUACCACUCAAACCUGGGAGGAGUCAUCUGUAGUGUAGUGUACUGUGUUACCUUGUGUUAUCUUGUACAUUGCAUUAUAUUUUGCAUGUUAUUGUAUUGCAUUGAAUUGUUAAAGCUUAAUAUUGUCCUUGACAUGUGGAAGAAAAAGAAAU